UACAGAGGGUGCAAGCGUUGUUCGGAAUUACUGGGCGUAAAGGGCGUGUAGGCGGCUUAAUAAGUCAGAUGUGAAAUCCCAGGGCUUAACUCUGGAAGUGCAUUUGAAACUGUUGAGCUAGAGUGAAGUAGAGGUUGGUGGAAUUCCCAGUGUAGAGGUGAAAUUCGUAGAUAUUGGGAGGAACACCGGUGGCGAAGGCGGCCAACUGGGCUUUAACUGACGCUGAGGCGCGAAAGCGUGGGGAGCAAACAGG
rnacentral:rRNA from 1 species